rnacentral:tRNA from 1 species
GGUAAAAUGGCUGAGUAGGCGUUAGACUGUAAAUCUAAGCACAGGGGGUAAUUUCUCUUUUUACUA